UCUGUUACACCAAGAAGUGGGUGACCCAAUGGGUUAUUAUUUAUAUAUAUUGACAGCUAGGAUGGGACCCCCGUUACCAAAUGUGUGUAUAAAUGAUCAGUUCUUUUAAAUUAUGGAGAAUGAAUAAUAAUAAAGCUAAAGAUAAGCUGGAGUCUCUUCAUGUCCAACUCAUGUAAGGGUGGGUGAGCCAGGUGGCAUUUCUGGCACACCGUCCAUGACAUCCGUGUGAUACUUAUAUAAUAAUGGUUGACUAAUUUUGCGAAUGAUCGGGAUCUUCUGUACUUAUAGAUGGUGUGGUCAGUUAGGGUUAUUGGCUGGACUGGAUCCAAGCCAAACAAGGAAAAUAUGCUUUAAAUGGUUUCAGAGUGUUCUGGUAGAGGCUUUUUAGUUUAAAAAAAAAAUAGAAGUCCAAAAUAUGAUAGUGUUAGAUAAAAUUUUAGAUCGGUUUAACUAAUAUUUUAGUUAAUUUUCAAUUUACCUAAAAUCAUAUAAAAUCUAUUAAAAAGCAAAUCAUUUCAAUAACUAGUGAAUAUACUAAGUAUUUCUAACUUUUGAUGUUAGGUUAGAGAUCAUUUGGUCACAACUUUUUCAAAAUUUAUAAUAAGAUAAAAAUCAUUGUAUUUUUUUUGAAACACAAACUUCCAUUAAUAGGUGAGGGGGUCUCCCUCAUUUACUACAAGACUUUGCUUAGCAAGUUCAUCUGCAACCAUAUUUUGCAGUCUUGAAAUCCAAACAAAAGAGAUAAAUUCAAACUCAGCUGCUAGAGCUAAGAUAUCGAAGACAAAUCCAAACAAAAAUCCUUGUAUUUAUCUCUAGAUUUUUCAUGCAAAAGGUUUGGAGAAAACGGAAAUGCAGGCAUAAUGGAGAUUGCACCUUAUUUCGCAUAAUCAUCCAUUUCAUCGAUAAGAAUGUUCGCAACUGAUUAUCAUUUUGUACAUCCGGAAACCACAGAUAUGAAGAUGGACUCAAAGUCUGGUUCGAUAUCCUUAAACUACUCUGUAUUGCUCAUGUAUUAAGUUAAAGCUUACAAAAGUCUCAAAGUGAUUCCGUUUUAAUAUUGGGAUGAAUAAAUUCAACGUUCUUAAUAAAGAACCCUGAAAAAUUGAAAUCGAUAAGAACAAACCGUAGAUAUAUUGCAUCUCAGACUUGACUUGGCUUCGCUUGCUUCUUGGAAUACGGAUAUGGGGUCUUAGGCAACACGUAUAUAAUACAAUUAUGGGUAAUUUGGACAAAGAAAAUUCAAAGUAACCGAUAGCUACACGCCUAAAGUUUUUUCAUUAAUAAAGACUUCAACCUUUUAAAUAGUAUGCGCUCUUAUCGUGUUGAAUUCUUAUAACCGUGUGAGAAUUUUCAUCAAACUCCCAUUUCCCAAAUUGCUUGCAAGUUUAUCUCAUUUGCUUUUUUUUUUAUAUAUCUUAUUUGCAAUGGAACGAAAGCUUUUCUUGGGCCAAUUCUUGAUAUGGGUGGUAUUACUGUUGGGGCAGCUACAUGGAUGUAAAAGUUGCAUUGAGAAAGAGAGAAAAGCUUUGUUGGAGCUCAAGAAACACCUUAUCUCACUGAGUGUAGAAUGGGGAUACGAUACUGUUCAACCUACUUGGACUAAUGAUACAAAAAGUGAUUGCUGCCUGUGGGAGGGCCUUGAGUGCAAUCGUACAAGCGGCCGGGUUAUCGGGAUAUCCAUUGGUGACAUGAUGUUUGAAAACUUCAGUUCUCCCCUAAAUAUUUCUUUGCUACAACCUUUUGAAGAUAUUCGAAGACUGAGCCUAUCCGUUGAACAGAACGGAUUUGAUGGCUUCUUUGAUGAUGUUGAAGGUUAUAAAAGCUUAAGGAGAUUAAGAAACCUUGAGAUUUUGGAUCUCUCUUCAAACAGAUUUAACGACAGCAUAUUUCCCUUUCUUAAUGGUGCAUCAUCACUUAAAACUAUUUUUCUUCACAAUAACUUGAUUGAAGGCCCUUUUCCUGCUGAAGAACAAAAAAACUUGACAAACUUGGAACUGUUGGAUCUGAGUCUAAACAUGUUAAAGGGCUCCUUGUCAGAUUUUACUCACCUCAAAAAACUGAAAACUCUAAAUCUAAGUUCCAAUUACUUGUCUAGCUCAAUGGAAUUACAAGAACUAAAAGAUUGGACAAACUUGGAACUGCUGGAUCUGAGUCGAAAUUUUCUAAACGGCUCCAUGCUAGAGUUUUCUUACCUCAAAAAGCUGAAAGCUCUAAAUCUAAGUUCCAAUCAUUUUUCUAGCUCUAUGGAACUGCGAGAACUAAAAGACUUGAUCAACUUGGAACUGCUAAGCCUUGCUCAAAACAGUUUCAGCGGACCUAUACCAGUAGAAGUAUUUUGUGAAAUGAAGAGUCUGCGGGAGCUCAAUCUUAGAGAAAAUCAGUUUGUAGGCCAGCUUCCUCUUUGUUUAGGUAGUUUGAAGAAGCUACGAGUUCUCGACCUAUCAUCCAACCAAUUUAGCGGAAAUAUACCAUCAAGUUUCAUUAGCCUUGAGUCCCUCGAAUAUAUUUCACUAUCAGAUAACAACUUCAGUGGCAUAUUCUCGCUCAACCCACUCACCAACCUCACAAAUCUCAAGGUGUUAAAACUUUCAACAACGUCGUCUGAUAUGCUACAAGUAGUAGUCAGAGAGUACUUGGCAGUCAAAACUUCAACUCAGUGUUGCUGUACUACGAUCUUGCAGCUUGAAAAAAAUCCCUUCCUUUUUUCUGUACCAGAAAAACUUGCGUCUAGUUGAUCUAUCCAGCAACAAAUUAUCCGGAAACGUUCCUACUUGGCUGCUAGAGAAUAAUACACAACUUGAAGUCUUACUCUUGCAGAGUAAUUCAUUUACUACCUUCCAGAUGCCUACAACUACAAUAGUGCAUCAUAAUUUGCAAUUAUUGGAUUUUUCAAAAAAUGAUAUUGGUGGGCUGUUCCCUGAUAACAUUGGCCGUCUGCUUCCCUAUCUUGUACACAUGAACGGCUCAAACAAUGGACUACAAGGAAAUUUUCCAUCGUCAAUGGGCGAGAUGAAGAACAUUUCAUUUCUUGACCUCUCUAACAAUAACUUCUCUGGGAAGUUACCUAGAAGCUUUUUCACCGGCUGUUUUUCACUGAAAUACCUGAAGCUCUCUCACAACAAAUUUACUGGCCAUGUCCCUCCUAGAGUAACAAACUUUACUUCAUUGGAUGUGUUGAGAUUGGAUAACAACUUAUUCACAGGGGAGAUCGGAGUUGGUCUGCUUAGCUCCAACGCUACAUUGUCGAUUCUCGACAUGUCCAACAAUCUUCUCACAGGUGCAAUUCCUAGUUGGAUAUCUAACCUAUCUAAUUUGGAAUUUCUAUUGUUAUCAGAUAAUAACAUCCAAGGCGCAGUACCACCGUCUUUGGGGAACAUGUCCUCAGUUUCAUUUUUGGACCUCUCUGGAAACUUAUUAUCUGGAGCCAUACCUUCAUACGUUGGUCACUACGUGAGAUAUCUCUUCUUACGAGACAACAACUUCACAGGAACAAUUCCAGACACAUUGUUGGCACGUCGUGUCCGAAUACUUGAUCUGCGGAACAAUAAGCUCUCCGGGACUAUCCCGGAGUUUGUCAGUACGGACUUGGAGGAUCCCCCAGAGCUAAGUAUUCUUUUGUUGAGGGGAAACAGUUUAAUAGGAUCGAUUCCAAGGCAGCUGUGUGAUCUGAGAACUAUUAGAAUUUUAGAUCUUUCACAUAACAAGCUCAAUGGUUACAUACCUUCAUGCCUUUACAACUUAUCAUUUGAUCUCGGAGUGGCAGAAGAGGAUACAAAUAUCUACAUUGGGGAAGAUUACAACCCCACGAGCUUUCAGUUGGAAUAUUACAAAUCUACAUUUGUUGCGGAGAAGCUUGUAGUAAAGUACACUACCUAUCAUGAAAUUGCGAUAAAUUUUGCAACAAAAGAAAGGUAUGAUUCUUAUACUGGAGGAACUGAGUUCAGUGAAGGUGUACUUGGUUAUAUGUAUGGAAUAGAUCUGUCAAGCAAUGAGUUAAGUGGUGUUAUCCCAGAAGAGCUUGGAAACCUCUCGAGAGUUCGAGCACUUAAUCUGUCUCACAAUUUCUUGUCGGGUUCUAUACCAUCCAGCUUCUACAAUCUGAAGGAUAUUGAGAGCCUUGAUCUUUCUUACAACGAGUUACAUGGAAGCAUUCCUCAACAGCUAACCAGUCUUAUUUCUCUUGCCGUGUUUGAUGUGUCUUACAACAAUUUGUCAGGAAUGGUUCCCCAAGGAAGGCAAUUCAAUACCUUUGACAAGAGCAGCUACGUAGGCAAUCCUCUUCUUUGUGGACUACCAACCAAUAUAAGUUGUGAUCAGGCUAACGAGAGGUCAGAGGAAGAAGAUAAUGGAGGAGGGGAAGAAGAGGACGAGGAAGCUGUUGUUGACAUGUUGGUCUUCUAUUAUAGCACUGGCUCAACUUAUUUGACAGCGUUGAUAUGCAUUCUUCUACUUAUGUGCUUUGAUUGUCCUUGGCGUCGAUCAUUGCUACGCCUUAUUGAUGCUUUCAUCGCUUCAAUAAAAACUAUGUUUCUUUGAAAUCAUUUGAGCCAAAUGUGGAAUCUUAUUGCAAAAUGUUUUCGAGUGUUUCAGACUCGAGCAUCAAUUCCUAGUUACUUCUUGAAGAAUAUAAAAAAUUUAAAAGUUCACAUCCUUCUUUUUUGUUGAAAUAUAUGCAAUCAUUUUAAGAACUACUAUCCCUCUGUCCAAUUUUAUUCGUUUACAUGUGCUUUGGAUUUACCGUUUCUAAAAAUCCAUGUUAUUCAAUCUCUUUUACUCUCACUUACGAUAGAGAUUGUGUGGAAGAAGACGCACAGCUUCCAAUGAUUCCUUGUCUCCACUUUGAGGGUUCAUAAUUUGGGAACUUGGCCCCAUCUUAAUUAAUGAUUAAGAUUAGUCAACAAAUAACAAUAAUAGCGACAACGAAGACUCUUAAUAAUGACUCGCUUUCUUACUUUAUUAUAAUCCCACUCAAAUCAUAUCGUAUCCACACAAAUAUAAUCGUUGGCCAGAUUCUUCUCAUCAACCACAUUCAUUGAACUAGACCACAUUUCGUUUUUGAAUGGGACACACACAAACGUAAAUCAAAGUCAAAAAGUCAUGUUUUCACAUACAAUCUGAUUCUCUGUCCCAUAUACAGUCUUAAAGGUGUAAUAAUUUCUCAGAUCUCGAAAGGAUACCAAAAAUAAAAUACAACGAAAAGAGAAUUUUAUUCAAUACUUCAUUAAACCAUCCCAAAGAGCAUAUACAUAACUUAGUACAGUGUUCAUACAGAUCGUAAUACAGUUGCCAGGGAAAAAAAACGAGGGCUCUGGAAAAAAAAACAACAAGAAAAAACUCUUCAAAGAGUUUGUUGCAACAAAAGCCAGAGCAAACCUCAAAGAAAGAACCCAUGGCAACCUGAACAAAAUCUUGAACACGUGUA